rnacentral:rRNA from 1 species
UGCCAGCCGCCGCGGUAAUACGGAGGGUGCAAGCGUUAUCCGGAAUCAUUGGGUUUAAAGGGUGCGUAGGUGGUUUAGUAAGUCAGAAGUGAAAGCCUGCGGCUUAACCGUAGAAUUGCUUUUGAAACUGUUAAACUUGAAUUAGGUUGAGGUUGGCGGAAUGUGACAUGUAGCGGUGAAAUGCAUAGAUAUGUCAUAGAACACCAAUUGCGAAGGCAGCUGACUAGACCUUAAUUGACACUGAGGCACGAAAGCGUGGGGAGCGAACAGGAUUAGAUA